GCCUCUGCGCCUCACACACACACACACACACACACGGAGACUGAAGGAAAGAAAACCAGCUUUCCUCCUUGAGUUGGGCAAAAGGAGUCCGUUCAAUCUCAGAACAAACGGCAGCGAGUAUUUCUUCGCUGAAUGUUUAUGUUCCGCGGACACGCGCCGAUGAAGCUUUCUGACGGACUUUAGAGGCUCGUGAAUGAAGGUGUUGAGAGAUCAGAUCUGAACAUCACAAAUGCAUAAGGAACUUUAUUCAUCAGACUGAGGCCGACCGUCAGUGUGGAGUAACUGUGGAGGGAGGAGUGUGUGUGAGUGUGUGUUUCCAUGCCCUGACCGCACGGGCUGGGAUGGAGCGACAGGUUGGGACUGGGAGACGCUGGACGCCACUAUUGGUUCUGCUGGGAAUGAUGCACUCGUACGC